rnacentral:rRNA from 1 species
GAUGAACGCUGGCGGCGUGCCUAAUACAUGCGAGUCGAGCGAACAGACGAGGAGCUUGCUCCUCUGACGUUAGCGGCGGACGGGUGAGUAACACGUGGAUAACCUACCUAUAAGACUGGGAUAACUUCGGGAAACCGGAGCUAAUACCGGAUAAUAUAUUGAACCGCAUGGUUCAAUAGUGAAAGAUGGUUUUGCUGUCACUUAUAGAUGGAUCCGCGCCGGAUUAGCUAGCUGGUAAGGUAACGGCUUACCAAGGGGAGGAUGCGUAGCCGACAUGAGAGGGUGAUCGGCCACGCCGGAACGGGGACACGGUCCAGACUCCUACGGGAGGCAGCAGUUGCGACUCCUCCGCGAUGGGCGAAAGACUAACGGAGCAAGGCCGCGUGAGUGAUGAAGGUCUUCGGAUCGUAAAACUCUGUUUUUAGGGAAGAACAAAUGUGUAAGUAACUAUGCACGUAUUGACGGUACCUAAUCAGAAAGCCACGGCUAACUACGUG